AACGCGAAGAACCUUACCCAGGCUUGACAUGCAGAGGACGACGCUAGAGAUAGCGUUUCCCUUCGGGGCCUUUGCACAGGUGCUGCAUGGCUGUCGUCAGCUCGUGCCGUGAGGUGUUUGGUUAAGUCCAGCAACGAGCGCAACCCUUAUCAUUAGUUGCCAACAUUUUAGGUGGGAACUCUAAUGAGACUGCCUGGGUUAACCAGGAGGAAGGUGAGGAUGACGUCAAGUCCGCAUGGCCCUUAUGUCUGGGGCUACACACGUGCUACAAUGGUCGGUACAGAAGGCAGCGAAACCGCGAGGCGGAGCAAAUCCCAAAAGACCGAUCUCAGUUCAGAUUGUAGUCUGCAACUCGACUACAUGAAGACGGAAUUGCUAGUAAUGGCAGGUCAGCAACACUGCCGUGAAUACGUUCCCGGGCCUUGUACACACCGUACGUC
rnacentral:rRNA from 1 species